CGGGUGAAAAGCCCGCUCGCCGGAAGACCAAGGGUUCCUGUCCAACGUUAAUCGGGGCAGGGUGAGUCGACCCCUAAGGCGAGGCCGAAAGGCGUAGUCGAUGGGAAACGGGUUAAUAUUCCCGUACUUGGUGUUACUGCGAAGGGGGGACGGAGAAGGCUAUGUUGGCCGGGCGACGGUUGUCCCGGUUUAAGCGUGUAGGUGUGUGUUCCAGGUAAAUCCGGUUCCACUUUACCCCUGAGGCGUGAUGACGAGGCACUACGGUGCUGAAGCAACAAAUGCCCUACUUCCAGGAAAAGCCUCAAGCAUCAGGUAACAUCAAAUCGUACCCCAAACCGACACAGGUGGUCAGGUAGAGAAUACCAAGGCGCUUGAGAGAACUCGGGUGAAGGAACUAGGCAAAAUGGUGCCGUAACUUCGGGAGAAGGCACGCUGACACGUAGGUGAAGUGAUUUACUCAUGGAGCUGAAGUCAGUCGAAGAUACCAGCUGGCUGCAACUGUUUAUUAAAAACACAGCACUGUGCC
rnacentral:rRNA from 1 species